GCAGUAGACGCUGAAGACUUUAGCUUGCUAAAGUUGGAAGAGUUGCGAACGGGUGAGUAACGCGUAGGUAACCUGCCUACUAGCGGGGGAUAACUAUUGGAAACGAUAGCUAAUACCGCAUAACAGCAUUUAACCCAUGUUAGAUGCUUGAAAGGAGCAAUUGCUUCACUAGUAGAUGGACCUGCGUUGUAUUAGCUAGUUGGUGAGGUAACGGCUCACCAAGGCGACGAUACAUAGCCGACCUGAGAGGGUGAUCGGCCACACUGGGACUGAGACACGGCCCAGACUCCUACGGGAGGCAGCAGUAGGGAAUCUUCGGCAAUGGGGGCAACCCUGACCGAGCAACGCCGCGUGAGUGAAGAAGGUUUUCGGAUCGUAAAGCUCUGUUGUAAGAGAAGAACGUGUGUGAGAGUGGAAAGUUCACACAGUG
rnacentral:rRNA from 1 species